UAGGGAAUCUUCGGCAAUGGACGAAAGUCUGACCGAGCAACGCCGCGUGAGUGAAGAAGGUUUUCGGAUCGUAAAACUCUGUUGUUAGAGAAGAACAAGGACGUUAGUAACUGAACGUCCCCUGACGGUAUCUAACCAGAAAGCCACGGCUAACUACGUGCCAGCAGCCGCGGUAAUACGUAGGUGGCAAGCGUUGUCCGGAUUUAUUGGGCGUAAAGCGAGCGCAGGCGGUUUCUUAAGUCUGAUGUGAAAGCCCCCGGCUCAACCGGGGAGGGUCCUUGGAAACUGGGAGACUUGAGUGCAGAAGAGGAGAGUGGAAUUCCAUGUGUAGCGGUGAAAUGCGUAGAUAUAUGGAGGAACACCAGUGGCGAAUGCGGCUCUCUGGUCUGUAACUGACGCUGAGGCUCGAAAGCGUGGGGAGCAAACAGG
rnacentral:rRNA from 1 species